rnacentral:lncRNA from 1 species
ACCUGGGACACGGAGGUUGCAGUGAGACGAGAUUGCCCCAUCGCACUCCAGCCUGCAACAGAGCGAGACUCCUUAACAAGGGAGGCUAUUCUGACACCUGCUACCAUGUGGAAGAAGCUUGACAAUAUUGACCAAUCAGCCAGACACAGAAAGACAAGUCCUGUGUGAUUCCACUUCGAGGAGGUCCCUCGAGUCACCAGAGUCACAGAGACAGAAAGUAUAACGCAGCAGCGUACACUGCCCAGCCCGGGCUUCGUUUCCACUUUCUGUGACCUGGUGUGGCGGUGAGUCUUACUCAGCGUGCUUGAGCCGAAAUGUCACCAGCUGCCCGCCGACCUGGGAUGACACCUUGGGCCGUUCUGUUUUCUCCCGUUCACCGGUCAAGACGCUGAAACUCGGGAGCUUUUGGCGGCCGAGCUGCGUGAAGGGACUUCAAGAGACGAGGAGACGGACCCCGUGGAAACCUCUCCCACCUGGCGAUUGUAGGGGAAGGAGCUUCUAUUCUUGACCCAGCCCACGACACGUGCCGGGGCUGUCAGCGCCGUGAGAGGCACCUGUGUCUCCCCGAGCUGAGGACGGAUGACAUUUGUACCUACAGGGGUAAAAAAAGAUAAAGCAAACACGGAACAGCACACUCCUCCCGGCCUUCCUUCUUCUGACACCGUUUUCCUUUAGAAGAUCUGAAACUACAAGUCAGGACAUGACACGUGGAGCGUCCCAGGCACGCGCAGCCUCUGCUGUUUGAUUUCCGACGUGAGUCUAUAGCAAGAAGGUUGCCGUCUGCAAGCCAGGAAGGGAGUCCUCACCAGGAGCUGAGAUGUUGCUACUUUGAUCUUGGACCUCCAGUCUUCAUGAUUUCUUUACGUUGCUGUGAAAACCUGGAUGUUGGGGGCUCUGUCUGUGUAUCGUAGACGGAGUUUUGAAUUGCUCCAGUGAAACACAAGUAUUUUACCUUACGCUGUCAACCUGCUGGGGGAAGCGUGAAGACAGUUUAACCUUCUGGCUCCGGUAAUCAUCUUGUCUCAGAGACCUCGGAGAGCUCCCAGAGCCUGGCUGCCACGGUGGUUCUAUAUACCCUCCAGCCCUGGCCUGCCUUGGGACACCCCUCUCCGCCUGCCGGCCCCAGAAUUUCCCCACACACGCGGUCAUCACAGCCCGAGAUGUUUAAUGACGGCUUCAUGCACCAGGCUAUUGCCCUAAACACGGGUGACAGGCCAAACACACACUAAUUACCUAACUCAAUUCAAGCCCGCCUGGCCCCGUGGAAAGGCUGAGCUGGGGAUGCACGCAGGUGCCCCGUCGUUACCUCCGGAUGUCAAAUUGAAGUGAGGUUUUCCCGCAUGAGCGGGGAGAGCUGUUUCUACGCACCAAGAUUUCCACGGUUUGCAGGAGAAAGAGUUUUGUGUCUGCCCUCUGGACAGCCCUGUCAGUUUUAUCAAGCGUGUCUGAUUAAGGAAUAUUUAAAGUGAAAAACAACACAAUCCCGGCCCUCCUACGGCCCCCGCCUUCCCUCUGUGUCUGCGGUCUGUACCCUACGAACGCCUAGGACGCUAGACGGGAUCCCUCCCCACGGAGCUAUAUAGGAAGGGUCUUGCUCUGUCACCUGGGCUGGAGUACCCUG